UGUUAGCACAUUUGAUAAUACAAAACAUUAUAGGUCACUUUGGACCUAAGUCAUUGAAUUUGAAAAAUGUCCAACUUCAAGUGCCCAUAACUUUCUCAUGAAAGAUCCAAAUUAUUCAAAAUUUGAGUCUAAAGUGAUCAUAUUGAAAAGACCUAUAAAUCUUAUGUUUGAGGUUUUUCUAUUUGAGGCUUGAAUCAUUGAAAAAUAAGGGCUUGAAGAUGCUUGCUUUUGAUGAAAAUUUUCAAAGGGAACCUACACAUGUUUUG
rnacentral:lncRNA from 1 species